rnacentral:rRNA from 1 species
GAUGAACGCUGGCGGCGUGCCUAAUACAUGCAAGUCGAGCGAACAGACGAGGAGCUUGCUCCUCUGACGUUAGCGGCGGACGGGUGAGUAACACGUGGAUAACCUACCUAUAAGACUGGGAUAACUUCGGGAAACCGGAGCUAAUACCGGAUAAUAUAUUGAACCGCAUGGUUCAAUAGUGAAAGACGGUUUUGCUGUCAAUUAAAGAUGGAUCCGCGCCGCAUUAGCUAGUUGGUAAGGUAAAGGCUUACAAAGGCGACGAUGCGUAGCCGACCUGAGAGGGUGAUCGGCCACACUGGAACGUAGACACGGUCCAGACUCCUACGGGAGGCAGCAGUAGGGAAUCUUCCGCAAUGGGCGAAAGCCUGACGGAGCAACGCCGCGUGAGUGAUGAAGGUCUUCGGAUCGUAAAACUCUGUUAUUAGGGAAGAACAAAUGUGUAAGUAACUAUGCACGUCUUGACGGUACCUAAUCAGAAAGCCACGGCUAACUACGUG